UAGAUACCCUAUUAUUUGGGAUCUAAAAUUUAAGACUUAAGUAGUAUUAGAUAUGAUCUUGAAACUUAAAGAAUUUGGCGGCAUUUUAGUCUAGUUAGAGGAAUCUGUUCCAUUAUCGAUAAUCCACGUUGAACCUUACUUAAUAUAAUUUAAUAUGUAUACCGCCGUUUAUUUGAAAAUCUUUUUAGAGAUAAUUUUCUUAAAAUUUUAAUUAAUUUUAUUUCAGGUCAAGGUGCAGUUUAUAAUUAAGUGGUGAUGGAUUACAUUAUUUAUAAGAUAAACGGAUUAAAAUAUGAAAUUAUUUUAUGAAGGUGGAUUUAAUAGUAAUUAAUAAUAAGAAUUAUUUUUAUGAUUUUGGCUCUAAAAUGUGUAUACAUCGCCCGUCACUCUCGUUAUUAAGAUGAGAUAAGUC
rnacentral:rRNA from 1 species